AUACUCCAUCGUCCUAAGAGCCAUUUGUAUGUUGUUGCUCAAACAGAAAAACGAUUUCAGUUUGGCUCGCUAUAAGCAGUAGUACCUUACAGUUAAACAACGAGGUACCACUGAAUACCCCAUGGAGAUGUAGAAAGGGAUUAAAAAACAAGAGCUCCACGUUGACGAAAGACACUCCUUUUGUUGAGAAAGUGUGUUGGCUUCGACCUUCGAUCGUGUUUUGUUUUCGUUAUUAAUCAAAUAUCAAUCAAUGGCUUCCCUUCGUUCCAUGUUUCUUCUUUUGGCUUUUACCUCUCGGUUUUUUAGCGAUUCGUCGGAAAGGGGCAGGAAGGAAUUAAGGGACAAAGAAACUUACCAGAGAAAUGUUAUAAAAUCAUUUCAUUCAAUCAAUGCAAACAAAAUUGAUCCGUCAAGAGCUAUCCAACUCUCAUGGCAACCAAGGGCUUUUUUGUAUAGGGGGUUUCUAUCAGAUGAGGAGUGUGACCACCUUAUUUCUCUGGCUCAUGGGGCAGAAGAAAAAAAUUUGGGAACCAGUCUUCAUUCAGAGAAUGUUUUCAUGAACCGAACUCAAUCAACUACAGAGGAUGAUAUUGUUGAAAGGAUUGAGGAGAGAAUUUCAGCCUGGACUUUCCUUCCUAAAGAGAACAGUAAGCCUCUGCAUAUCAUGCAUUAUGGGCUUGAAGAGGGCAAACAGAAAUUAGAUUAUUUUGGUAAUGAAUCUACACUGGGUUUAAGUGAGCGUUUGAUGGCAACUGUUAUUUUGUAUCUUUCAAAUGUCACCUGGGGUGGUGAGAUUCUUUUCCCUGAUUCAGCGGUGAAGAACAAGAUUUGGUCAGAUUGCACAAAAGUUAGCAGUGUCCAAAGACCUAUUAAAGGGAAUGCAAUUUUGUUUUUCACUCUACAUCCCAAUGCAUCCCUUGAUGAGAGUAGCUCCCAUGCCAGAUGCCCUGUCCUUGAAGGGGAAAUGUGGUGUGCGGCCAAAUUCUUCCAAAUAAGAGAGGUAAAGAAAGAGAAAAUUUCAAUUGAAUCAGUUGGUGAUGAAUGCACUGAUGAAGAUGAAGACUGUCCUCAUUGGGCUGCCAAAGGGGAAUGCCAAACGAAUCCUCUCUUCAUGGUAGGCUCGCCCGAUUACUAUGGGACAUGUAGGAAGAGUUGUCAAGCAUGCUGACUGGUAAUCUAUAAUGUAUACAAUUUUUUCCACCGCCCAUUUGUAAAAAUUAGUACAAAUGUGGCAUGGGUUAGUGAUUGAUAGAUACCAGCCUUCAGUGUAGGGUGAACUCAAAGAAAGGAGAAAUAUUCAAUGUGAAUAUUUCUUUGAAGAGGAAGUCCAAGCCAUGUACCUGCAGUAGCGUUCAAGUGAAUCCUGAUCCACAAUCACUAUCAAUACAUGCAAUUCUUCUAUUGAAUGCUAUGCAAAUUUCCUCCAUGUCUUUUUCAUAUUGUGAACCAUCCACUGUGCUGAAGAAGGUACCAAUUUUCAAAUUAAGAGAGCAAUGGCAGAACCACAACAACAAAUCUAGUUCACAACAAAAAGUCCAUUAGUUGCCAACAGAUUACUAUCUGAAUUUGGGGAUGAACUACGCAAAACACUCUUCAGGUUGCCAACUGCUUUUGUGAAUUGGCUUCAAGAGAACUGACUCUUACAAACUCAAGUAUUCACUGCCAAUCCAUCACAGAUGUAUUGUAAUUCCCCUAUUUCAAUUUUUUUUCCCUCUCAA